rnacentral:misc_RNA from 1 species
CCAAUAGCGUAUAUUAAAGUUGUUGUGGUUAAAAAGCUCGUAGUUGAACCUUGGGCCUGGCUGGCCGGUCCGCCUCACCGCGUGUACUGGUCCGGCCGGGCCUUUCCCUCUGUGGAACCUCAUGCCCUUCACUGGGUGUGACGGGGAAGCAGGACUUUUACUGUGAAAAAAUUAGAGUGCUCCAAGCAGGCCUAUGCUCGAAUACAUUAGCAUGGAAUAAUAAAAUAGGACGUGAGGUUCUAUUUUGUUGGUUUCUAGGACCGCCGUAAUGAUUAAUAGGGACAGUCGGGGGCAUCAGUAUUCAAUUGUCAGAGGUGAAAUUCUUGGAUUUAUUGAAGACUAACUACUGCGAAAGCAUUUGCCAAGGAUGUUUUCAUUAAUCAGGAACGAAAGUUAGGGGAUCGAAGACGAUCAGAUACCGUCGUAGUCUUAACCAUAAACUAUGCCGACUAGGGAUCGGACGAUGUUGUUUCAAUGACUCGCUCGGCACCUUAUG